GAUUAACAGUCACAAAAAAUGCGACGAGCAGGACUAAUUUAUUUUUUCGAAUGCAACGAAUUUCAUCACUCCUCUUUCGACUAAUCCAACUGUAGCGGCACACGAGAACAAAACUUUCCAACGGUUCCGUCGGUACAAAGUAUAUCACCGAAGCGUAAAGCCGAAUAUUUCGGUCGAAUAUUUCGAAGAAGGCUACAUGGCAACGGUCGCGGACGUCUAACGAACGCGUGCGUAGUGGCGAUAUUGGGGGGCGACAAACACAAACGAAUCGGAUUAUGAAAACAGUCGAGUUGUAACCGAGAAGCGACAAAAGUCAGUUGGAAUCGAGAAUUGUAUGAAAACAGUCGAAAGCGAGGAUUGUUAAUAAAUAUACUGUUGAACACUGCCGAGUAUUUCUUUGGCACCCUAAACGGAAAGAGGUGAACGUGUUUGUGCUACAUAAAGACACCGUGUCCGUAAAAUCAAGAGUGUUCGUAAUGGUUAACCACAACGAGAAAAGGCGCGCAACGAGCGCCACAGACCGCGGAGACAUAACCUUUUGUUGACAAUUUCUACGAAAAAUUCGAUGCUCCACGGUACGAUGCUUUUUUACUGUCUCUCAUAUAAUGAUCGCGUAACUCUUUUCUUCUCGUUGGAAAGCUGGACGAGUUAAAAGAAUAAAAAAUUUAUUGAAAUUCCAACGAUUUGGAUUGUAACAGAAGGUAAAAAUAUGUAACCUGCGUAGAUCGUUUUCGAUGCAAACGCAAUUUCGAUUCCAGCAAUUUCCCAAGCUAUCCAACCUGGAUCAUAGCCACUGGAAAAAUAUAUUUACCAUAAACUACACAUUUGCAAUGUAGAUAAGGGGACAAGCAUAGAAAUCUCUCGUUAUUUCACAAAAUAACCUUUCCUUCCUUUAUACGAUAUAUGCUAACGAUGAAGGAUAAAAACUGACAAGUCGAUUAUGCGAGAUGUCCAAUUUAAAAAAAAAUUUUUGGUAUUAAAAAGUAACCGAUGAUGUAUCAAGGUUAAUUUUUACUUGUACCUCGGUUCAAAUUUUUCGAUGAAUGUGGCGUAUCGCGUGACGAAGUUUACCAUGGUGAUGGAACAAGUUAGGAUUUUUUUCAUUGAUCACCUGUCGUUCUAUCCGCUUACACGAUAUACGUAUUUUCUAAUCGCCUGGUCAAUCGUUGCAAAGGGAGUUUUUUCGAUUGGCGAAGUUGCAAAAUGUUCGUCGCUGUAUAAACUAAUAUCGCAUCGAAUUUUCUAAUCGCCUUAAACAACAUUAUUAUCGUCAACAUUCUGUUGCCAUCUCGUACACCGUUUGAUUUCAAAUUCGUAUAGUAAAGGAUUUUCGUCUGCUUGCUUUUGCUCGACAAAUACUACUAUGCUACAAAUACCAUCUACUUUGAGAAACUUUGAUUGUGCGCAAGAAAGGGGAGUAAACGAGAGAAGCAAGAACUCGGUAAGCUGCGUAACGUUUGAAAAGAGCACAUUGGUGAAAAGCUGAUUCACGGAAAAGAGCAAUCGUAGGUUGCGGAAUAUCGGCUUUGAGGAAAAAGCCCGACGUUUUCCACUUGUCGUACGUGACCGCGUUGAUAAGCGGACAAAGAGUGCAAUUAACCAGGCAUAGUCGGAAUAACGAUAAGCCGUCGGAAGCGGUUCUCGAAAGAGCCGAGGAAGGUGCGAACGAGCGAACCACGCGAAAGGAACGGUCAUAAAGCAACAACGUGACACGACAGCGAAACGCAUAAAAAGGAGAGUAAAGUGACCGCGCUUGCUUGAAUUUAGAACGAGUUUAGAACGAGUUGGAAAGCUUGCAGUUAUUUAUAUUUCUCCACUUCUCGGUCCUUGCUGAUUUCAUUGGAUGCGUCACGAUGCGAAUCGUUUUUCUAGCUCACCUUGCCUACCCUCCAUUAAGAUGAUUAUUAUUAUACGAUAUUAUUUUUAUAUUAUUAUUUCAUAUAUUAUACAACUUACGACUUGUUUGAGAUACACGUUACAUUUUCAUUCUGUAAUCGAUUUUACGUAAUGUUUACGUUGGAUACGCGAUGGUGGCUGUACAAAGCUAUACACGUACGAAUACUAGUACAUUUCUUACUAUUAAUUUGCCAGAUGAUUAAUUAGUCAAGAAACGACAAAUCUUCUAAUCUGACAUUUAAAAAAUAUUAAUUAUAAAAUUCAAUGCUAUAUAUUGCAUAAUAUUGUUGAGGUUAACUGAUAGAGGAAUCAAUUGAUGAAUUUGUAAUAGAAAAGUAUAUUGAAGUUGACUGGUAGAGGAACCAAUUGAUGAAUUUGUAAUAGAAAAGUAUAUUGAAGUUGACUGGUAGAGGAACCAAUUGAUGAAUUUGUAAUAGAAAAGUAUAUUGAAGUAAGUAUAAGUACAGGUAUAGUGUAUGAGGUCAAAAUCAAGUAAAUUGUUAUCAUUAUUUAUUAAUUUAAUGUAUGGUAUUGUUGAGGUUAACUGAUAGAGGAACCAAUUGAUGAAUUUGUAAUAGAAAAGUAUAUUGAAAUAAGUAUAAGUAUAGGUAUAGUGUAUGCUGAUCCAGAUCCUCACACUUUCAGUGUUACAAUACAAUAGAAUAUGAUAGGGCGCACGUUCAUAUAUUUAUAACAAAGGACAUUAGCAAAAAAGUUAAACCUGUAGCUGUAGCUGAAUGCUACAAGAAACAGCAAUAGAAAUCUACUUGUNAGUUGUUUUGUUUCUACACCUUGUAACCCAAAACAAAAUUUAUAUUCAAGAGCACAAUAAUAUGCACCUCUCCUUAUUUAG